rnacentral:rRNA from 1 species
AUUGAACGCUGGCGGAAUGCUUUACACAUGCAAGUCGAGCGGCAGCACGGGGGCAACCCUGGUGGCGAGCGGCGAACGGGCGAGUAAUACAUCGGAACAUGCCCAGUCGUGGGGGAUAACACUUCGAAAGAAGUGCUAAUACCGCAUACGUCCUGAGGGAGAACGCGGGGGAUCUUCGGACCUCGCGCGAUUGGAGUGGCCGAUGUCAGAUUAGCUAGUUGGUGGGGUAAAGGCCUACCAAGGCAACGAUCUGUAGCUGGUCUGAGAGGAUGAUCAGCCACACUGGGACUGAGACACGGCCCAGACUCCUACGGGAGGCAGCAGUGGGGAAUUUUGGACAAUGGGGGCAACCCUGAUCCAGCCAUUCCGCGUGAGUGAAGAAGGCCUUCGGGUUGUAAAGCUCUUUCGGCAGGAACGAAACGGUGAGCUCUAACAUAGCUUGCUAAUGACGGUACCUGAAGAAGAAGCACCGGCUAACUACGUGCCAGCAGCCGCAGUAAAAC